rnacentral:rRNA from 1 species
UACGUAGGGCGCAAGCGUUGUCCGGAAUUAUUGGGCGUAAAGAGCUCGUAGGUGGUUUGUUACGUCUGCUGUGAAAACCUAGGGCUUAACCCUGGGCCUGCAGUGGAUACGGGCAGACUAGAGGUAGGUAGGGGAGAAUGGAAUUCCCGGUGUAGCGGUGAAAUGACGCAGAUAUCGGGAGGAACACCGGUGGCGAAGGCGGUUCUCUGGGCCUUACCUGACACUGAGGAGCGAAAGCGUGGGGAGCGGAACAGG